AUUGAACGCUGGUGGCAUGCCUUACACAUGCAAGUCGAACGGUAACGGGCCUUCGGGUGCCGACGAGUGGCGAACGGGUGAGUAAUACAUCGGAACGUGCCCGAUCGUGGGGGAUAACGAGGCGAAAGCUUUGCUAAUACCGCAUACGAUCUACGGAUGAAAGCCGGGGACCGCAAGGCCUUGCGCGGACGGAGCGGCCGAUGGCAGAUUAGGUAGUUGGUGGGAUAAAAGCUUACCAAGCCGACGAUCUGUAGCUGGUCUGAGAGGAUGAUCAGCCACACUGGGACUGAGACACGGCCCAGACUCCUACGGGAGGCAGCAGUGGGGAAUUUUGGACAAUGGGCGCAAGCCUGAUCCAGCCAUGCCGCGUGCAGGAUGAAGGCCUUCGGGUUGUAAACUGCUUUUGUACGGAACGAAAAGCCUUCUUUUAAUACAGGAGGGUCAUGACGGUACCGUAAGAAUAAGCACCGGCUAACUACGUG
rnacentral:rRNA from 1 species